rnacentral:rRNA from 1 species
GAUGAACGCUGGCGGCGUGCCUAAUACAUGCAAGUCGAGCGAACGGACGAGAAGCUUGCUUCUCUGAUGUUAGCGGCGGACGGGUGAAUAACACGUGGAUAACCUACCUAUAAGACUGGGAUAACUUCGGGAAACCGGAGCUAAUACCGGAUAAUAUUUUGAACCGCAUGGUUCAAAAGUAAAAGACGGUCUUGCUGUCACUUAUAGAUGGAUCCGCGCUGCAUUAGCUAGUUGGUAAGGUAACGGCUUACCAAGGCAACGAUGCAUAGCCGACCUGAGAGGGUGAUCGGCCACACUGGAACUGAGACACGGUCCAGACUCCUACGGGAGGCAGCAGUAGGGAAUCUUCCGCAAUGGGCGAAAGCCUGACGGAGCAACGCCGCGUGAGUGAUGAAGGUCUUCGGAUCGUAAAACUCUGUUAUUAGGGAAGAACAUAUGUGUAAGUAACUGUGCACAUCUUGACGGUACCUAAUCAGAAAGCCACGGCUAACUACGUG